rnacentral:rRNA from 1 species
CGGGGGAUUAGGGUUCGAUUCCGGAGAGGGAGCCUGAGAAACGGCUACCACAUCUAAGGAAGGCAGCAGGCGCGCAAAUUACCUAAUUCUAACAGUUAAAGAGAGGUAGUGACAAGAAAUAACAAUACAAGGCAAUUAAAUUGCUUUGUAGUUGGAAUGAUAAAAACAUAAAUACUUUUUAAAGUAUCAAUUGGAGGGCAAGUCUGGUGCCAGCAGCCGCGGUAAUUCCAGCUCCAAUAGCGUAUAUUAAAAUUGUUGCAGUUAAAAAGCUCGUAGUUAAAUUUCUGUUAAAAAUAACAGGUCUGCUUUUUAUAAGAGUUGUAUCUUGGUGCGUUUUUAGCAAUAAUAUUCUUUGAAAUGUUUUUUACUUUGUUGUAUAAAACAAUAUUCAGGAUUGUUACUUUGAGAAAAUUAGAGUGUUUCUAGCAAGCUAAUGCUUUGAAUACUGCAGCAUGGAAUAAUAAAAUAAAAUUUUAGUUCUACAUGAUUGGUUUUAAGAGCUAAAUUAAUAAUUAAUAGAAACAGUUGGUGACAUUUGUAUUUAACUGUCA